rnacentral:rRNA from 1 species
UUGAACGCUGGCGGCAUGCUUUACACAUGCAAGUCGAACGGCAGCGGGGGCUUCGGCCUGCCGGCGAGUGGCGAACGGGUGAGUAAUGCAUCGGAACGUACCCAGUCGUGGGGGAUAACUACGCGAAAGCGUGGCUAAUACCGCAUACGCCCUGAGGGGGAAAGCGGGGGACCUUCGGGCCUCGCGCGAUUGGAGCGGCUGAUGUCGGAUUAGCUGGUUGGUGGGGUAAAGGCCUACCAAGGCGACGAUCCGUAGCUGGUCUGAGAGGAUGAUCAGCCACACUGGGACUGAGACACGGCCCAGACUCCUACGGGAGGCAGCAGUGGGGAAUUUUGGACAAUGGGCGCAAGCCUGAUCCAGCCAUGCCGCGUGAGUGAAGAAGGCCUUCGGGUUGUAAAGCUCUUUCAGCCGGGACGAAAUCGCUAUUCUUAAUACGAGUAGUGGAUGACGGUACCGGAAUAAGAAGCACCGGCUAACUACGU